rnacentral:rRNA from 1 species
UAACCUGCCUCAUACAGGGGGAUAACAGUUAGAAAUGGCUGCUAAUACCGCAUAAGCGCACAGCAUUGCAUGAUGCCGUGUGAAAAACUACUGGUGGUAUGAGAUGGACCCGCGUCUGAUUAGCUAGUUGGUGAGGUAACGGCCCACCAAGGCGACGAUCAGUAGCCGACCUGAGAGGGUGACCGGCCACAUUGGGACUGAGACACGGCCCAA